rnacentral:lncRNA from 1 species
CAGAGCUCAACACACGUGUUGAAUGCAGGGAGAGAGAAUGAACGAAGACCAGCUGUGAGAAAUGAGAGGAAGAAUGAGGCUCAGACUGGUUAAGUGACCUGCCUGGUGUGAGAGCUGGGAUCCACACUCCGACAUGCUUUCCAAGACCACGACUCGCCCUGUGUCAAAGGUCAAGCAGCCAGCCUUGGGAAUCAGGAAGCAACGAGGCUCCUUCCUAAGCCCCAUCACUUAGGGAACGAAGACUUCAACGGUGGAAGGUUCCCGUGGUGCCCCAGCGCCUCCAAGCUCCGGAGGGCAGCACCUCCACACGGCAGGCAGAGCAUCCUUCCUCUUGGGCCUCACUCCAUCCUGUGAUGGUCCAGGCUUCCGGGCGGAAGAGCACAGAGGACUUCCUUCCAUGAGGGCCUCUCCACCCUUCCUCUGAGAGGUGGCCCUGCAGUCUUCAACACGGAGAAAGUCAGGGGGCUGAGGGUGAGUGAAAGGCCAUUUCCUUUGCCCGGCCUGUCACCUGCUCCAGGAGAGGUAGGUGGCUCUCCUCACAGUCCUGGAGAUGCCUGCCCGGACUCUGGCCCAGGUGGCCUUCCUGAUGCGCCGGCUGAGAGUGCUGGGACCUGUCAGAGCAGCUGACACCUGCUUAUUCAGUCACCCUGAGAAAAACCUAGAAUCAGCUUCAGAUACGGAUUGCACGGUG